AGAAAAAGCAGAAUAUUAUUACUACAGGGGGGUUUUGCUGUUGUUGUUAACCACCCAAAAAAAUAAAAAGGUAAAAAAAAAUGUUACAAGCCAUAAGGGUCACAGGAGUUCAACCAAAGCUCCUCAGGGCAAAAUAGGAAGGCCAGGGAAUUGCAUCCUCCCCCACUCUGUUUUCAGUUGCCCCUGGCAAGGAAUGACAGAUGGGUACUCCAUCUACAGAACGUGGACAGGAUUGUGGCAGGGAACAGUGAAAGGAUAAGGCAGAGAAGGAUGUAUUCCCCUAUGACAAAUGUGGGCAUCUGCAUGAUUGUGCUGUGUCCUGGGAUAAGAUGGCUUAUCCCAGGACAAAUGUGACCUCCUUUUGCAGUUCUCGUGAUGUGGGGUCUUAAUUUUUUACAACAGUAGAUAGGUGUCAUCAUUUACAAUUUUCAGAUGAAGAAAUUAUUACAUCAGGAAUGAUGGUGGUAAUAAUUCUAUAAAGAAAGUAUGCAGUCAUAACAUGGAAAAAAAACAAGUCAAUCAGAAGCAGUCCAAUGUGCAAUAACAAUGCAAGGAAACUUAAAAUUAGGAAUGGUGGCAUCCAAGCAGAGGUCUACUAUCCUUUCAAUUUAUUUAAAUAAAGACAAAUCAA